AGCGACAACAUUGAACCUUCGGGGGAUUUGUUGGGCGGCGAGCGGCGGACGGGUGAGUAAUGCCUGGGAAAUUGCCCUGAUGUGGGGGAUAACCAUUGGAAACGAUGGCUAAUACCGCAUGAUAGCUUCGGCUCAAAGAGGGGGACCUUCGGGCCUCUCGCGUCAGGAUAUGCCCAGGUGGGAUUAGCUAGUUGGUGAGGUAAGGGCUCACCAAGGCGACGAUCCCUAGCUGGUCUGAGAGGAUGAUCAGCCACACUGGAACUGAGACACGGUCCAGACUCCUACGGGAGGCAGCAGUGGGGAAUAUUGCACAAUGGGCGCAAGCCUGAUGCAGCCAUGCCGCGUGUAUGAAGAAGGCCUUCGGGUUGUAAAGUACUUUCAGCAGUGAGGAAGGGGAUAUCGUUAAUAGCGGUAUUCUUUGACGUUAGCUGCAGAAGAAGCACCGGCUAACUCCGUGCCAGCAGCCGCGGUAAUACGGAGGGUGCGAGCGUUAAUCGGAAUUACUGGGCGUAAAGCGCAUGCAGGUGGUUUGUUAAGUCAGAUGUGAAAGCCCGGGGCUCAACCUCGGAAUUGCAUUUGAAACUGGCAGGCUAGAGUACUGUAGAGGGGGGUAGAAUUUCAGGUGUAGCGGUGAAAUGCGUAGAGAUCUGAAGGAAUACCGGUGGCGAAGGCGGCCCCCUGGACAGAUACUGACACUCAGAUGCGAAAGCGUGGGGAGCAAACAGGAUUCGAUACCCUGGUAGUCCACGC
rnacentral:rRNA from 1 species